UACGAAGGGGGCUAGCGUUGCUCGGAAUCACUGGGCGUAAAGGGUGCGUAGGCGGGGCUUUAAGUCAGGGGUGAAAUCCUGGAGCUCAACUCCAGAACUGCCUUUGAUACUGAAGAUCUUGAGUUCGGGAGAGGUGAGUGGAACUGCGAGUGUAGAGGUGAAAUUCGUAGAUAUUCGCAAGAACACCAGUGGCGAAGGCGGCUCGCUGGCCCGAUACUGACGCUGAGGCACGAAAGCGUGGGGAGCAAUCAGG
rnacentral:rRNA from 1 species